UUUCUUUCAUUGAUAUCUUUCUUUCAUUCAACGCGGAGUCGGGCGUUGAAUGUGCGAGUGCCAAGUCUGCCAUUUUUGGUAAGCAGAACUGGCGCUGUGGGAUGAACCAAACGGGUGGUUAAGUGCCUAACACUGACGCUCAUAAGAUACCACAAAAGGUGUUGGUUAAUAUAGAUAGUAGGAUCUAUACCGCGCCGUAAUCGCAAGCUAUACCUGUGGGGUUUUACAUUAUAUGGGCGUGUGUGAUCGCAGGUACAUUCGUGGUGCAGGCGAGGAACGCGAUGACGAGUAGGAGGAUCGCCGUGGUGAGCGUAGAAGCCUCUGGCGUGAGUCAGGGUGGAGCCGCCAAGGGUC
rnacentral:ncRNA from 1 species